AGAAAUUCAUAAAUUUUUGCAUCUGUGAUCAUUGCGGAAACCUCUCCGGCAGCAAAAUGUAAGGGGUUUCAUCAAUUUCAUCGGUUUCAGGCCAAACAUACGCGAAAUAGUACGCUUUUUGCGAUAAAAAGUGAUAUAAAGUGGUAAAAAAUAAGACAAGGACAAAUGUUUUGUUAUAAGACCAAAUGGCAAAUGCUCUUCCAGAUGCAAGAAGUUUCAAUCUGAUUGGUCCAUCCGUCUCGGAGUAAGAAGCAAGACAAAAUGUUUCUGUUUAAAAAAAAAAACGGGUAAAAAAUGACAAAUCACAAAAUGUUUCUUUUACGCGACCAACUGGAAGAAAUAUUCGACUAGAUGCAAGAGGAUUCAUUCCGAUUGGUCAAGCCAUAUCGGCGUAUUAGGCGAAUAUACAUAAUCAAAAUUACGUUUUUUUGGCAAAAAAAACGGGUAAAAAAUGACAAAUCGCAAAAAGUCGUGAUAAUGGGACCACCGGGGGGGGGGGGGGUGCAUGCUCUACAAGAUGCAACACGAUUCAUUCCGAUUGGUCAAGCCAUCUCAGCGUAAUCGGUAAACAGACA